UACGUAGGGUGCAAGCGUUAAUCGGAAUUACUGGGCGUAAAGCGUGCGCAGGCGGCUUUGCAAGACAGAUGUGAAAUCCCCGGGCUCAACCUGGGAACUGCAUUCGAGACUGAAUAGCUAGGGUGCGGUAGGAGGGAAGCGGAAUUUCCGGUGUAGCGGUGAAAUGCGUAGAUAUCGGAAGAACAUCAGUGGCGAAAGCGGCUUCCUGGACCAGGCAC
rnacentral:rRNA from 1 species